AAGUCGUAACAAGGUUUCCGUAGGUGAACCUGCGGAAGGAUCAUUAACACUUUUAAUAAUCUAUAACAACAUAACAACGUGACACUUUAUUUAUCCCUUGCAUCAUUAGCUAGAGAUAGCUGGGCAAGGCUAACCAACCUUUAUUAUUUUUUUACACCCCAUUUUUUUUCUAUCACUCCGAUAGAGAGAAUAUAACACUUUUUGUUUUGGCUAACGCUUUAACAAACUAACUUAAAUAUUCUCAAUCGUAACGAUUGUGUAUAUUUUAAAUGUAUCAAAUAUCUAUAAGAUUAUAAACAACUCUUAGCAAUGGAUAUCUUGGUUCUC
rnacentral:misc_RNA from 1 species